rnacentral:rRNA from 1 species
UCGGGAAUUUUGGGCAAUGGGCGAAAGCCUGACCCAGCAACGCCGCGUGAGGGAUGAAGUAUUUCGGUAUGUAAACCUCGAAAGAAUGGGAAGAAUAGAUGACGGUACCAUUUAUAAGCUCCGGCUAACUACGUGCCAGCAGCCGCGGUAAUACGUAGGGAGCAAGCGUUGUUCGGAUUUACUGGGCGUAAAGGGCGCGUAGGCGGCGCGGUAAGUCACUUGUGAAAUCUCUGAGCUUAACUCAGAACGGCCAAGUGAUACUGCUGUGCUAGAGUGCGGAAGAGGCAACCGAAAUUCUUGUUGUGGCGGUGAAAUGCGUAGAUAUCAAGAGGAACACCUGAGGCGAAGGCGGGUUGCUGGGCCGACACUGACGCUGAUGCGCGAAAGCCAGGGGAGCAAACG